AACGAACGCUGGCGGCAUGCCUAACACAUGCAAGUCGAACGAGACCUUCGGGUCUAGUGGCGCACGGGUGCGUAACGCGUGGGAACCUGCCCUUAGGUUCGGAAUAACUCCCCGAAAGGGGUGCUAAUACCGGAUAAUGUCUUCGGACCAAAGAUUUAUCGCCUUUGGAUGGGCCCGCGUUGGAUUAGCUAGUUGGUAGGGUAAAAGCCUACCAAGGCGACGAUCCAUAGCUGGUCUGAGAGGAUGAUCAGCCACACUGGGACUGAGACACGGCCCAGACUCCUACGGGGGGCAGCAGUGGGGGAAUUUUGGCAAUGGGCGGAAAGCUGAUCCAGCAAAGCCGCGGGGGUGAAGGAGGGCUUAAGGUUGGAAAACUCUUUUUCCCGGGAAGGUAAAGGCAGGUCCGGGGAGAUUAGGUCCGGCUAACUCCGUG
rnacentral:rRNA from 1 species